GAAAAAUCUUAUUGGAUUUUUCAGGAAUAUUUAGAAAUUUUUUGGGAUUUAAACGGAGGUCGUAUGACCCAUUUCGAGGGGAUGGAUUCGGAGCUAAUUGGAGGCCUGUUUGGAAUACCCAUUUAAGUGGGAGUUGAUUUGGGAAUGGACUUAGGCUUUAAUUAAUCUAACCUAGGUUUUAUUUUUUUAAAUUUCUUUUCCUUUUCUCCUCCCCGAAUUCGCCCGAACUCUCCCCCUUUCCCCGAUCUCCUCUCCCGAGCCCUCUCUCGCACGACCUCUUCUUCCCCGAUCACGAGUCUUCUUCUUCGCGAGACCUCUUGCGAUUUCUCUCUCGGGCGAUCAUCGGCGCCGACAACCCUAGCUCUGGUUCAGUCGUCGCCCUCUCCCUUCUCUCUUGUCGUCGUGCCCUAGAUUGCCGACGCCGAGUCUUGCUCGCCGAGAUGCCUCCAGCACACCUUCAUCGCCAAUCAGGGGAGCAUCUGUUGGUGCAGAUCCGGUCGCCAAUGAUUCUUCUUCGACCUCCAACGAGAGAUGCCUAUUCCCUUUUGUGCGCCACCAACCAACGCGUGGAUCGACACCAACCCUAGUCGCGGACAUCUGGUGCUCACUAGAAGCUGUGUGCACGAACUGGAGACGAGGUUACUAGCUUUGAUCGUUGUGGCCAGCCGUUGCCCUCUUCCUUACGCACCUGUGCCCUAGAUCGGACCCCUCCACUCCGACCAACUGGUGCCAGUGAUUGUGGCUUCAUUGCGGUUGUCCUUCCCUUGCCAAGAAGUGUCUACAGAGGGAUUUUUGGCUACUUAUGGCUUGUUGCAAUCACUGGACCUCUACUUUGACCAUUGUCUUGCCCAAGAUCCAGUGCUGGACAUCAUUUUCUGGUUCUGAUAUGAAGUUGCUAGACAUCUUCCAAACAUCAUCGAUUUGGCUAGAAAUCAGGAUUCAACAGAGGGAUAUUGUUUGGGAGUUCAGCAGUCUCAUCUUGCCCUAGUUACCAAUUUCCAACAGCCAACAUUUUCGGCUUUGGAUCAACCACGGUGCAUCCGAAAUUGGGAUUUGGGUUUGAGGUGAGUGUCUCGAUGUGGGAUUGGUCUAUCUGACGCGAUCGACAGAUAAAGGCGGGUAUUUCUUCCUUGGCUCUAUGUAGAUUUUUAUUGAGCUUAGUGCAUGAUUUUAUGUGAUGGAUUAGGCUAUUGUACCUUAUAUCAUAUCCGUUUGUUGCUUUCCUGCUUGAUAUUUAUGCUUGAUCUUUGAGGUGUUCUAGUUAUAUCAUAUACAGUCUCUACUCUUGAUAUCUACUCUGCUAUGUUGACACGCGUAGAGUAUGUAUUGUAGGGAUUGUCGGGUUGUUUGUAGUAUCAUGCUGAUUGUGCAUAUGACGGGGAUUGUACGUAGGUUGGUAUGUGUUAUAGGAGUCCGCAUGUUGACUUUACAUUUAUAUGUUGUAUGUACGUACGUGUUUGGUUAUGUACUUUUGGAGGAAUUGUGUUGAUUGUAUGUUCGGAGUAUAUACACAUGUCCGUUGUGUUUUUAUUGGAGGAUACAUGUUGAUUGUACUUAUACUUUUGUGUACAUG